CCUUGUGUUUAAUAUACCAUGUUGCUUCGGCGAGCCCGUCUCCAAGGACCGCCGGAGGGUCGUCAAACCCCCUCUGGCCCGUUGCUCGUCGAUAGCCAAAAUUACAAACUCUUGAUUAACCAUGUCGUCUGAGUCUAAAAUUUAUAAUUAAAAAUAAAACUUUCAACAACGGAUCUCUUGGUUCUGGCAUCGAUGAAGAACGCAGCGAAAUGCGAUAAGUAAUGCGAAUUGCAGAAUUUCAGUGAGUCAUCGAAUCUUUGAACGCACAUUGCGCCCUUUGGUAUUCCGAAGGGCAUGCCUGUUCGAGCGUCAUUAUCACCUCUCAAGCCUGGCUUGUUGUUGGAUCUAGGUCUGGGUUUUAUCCCUGACCGGUCCCAAAAGUAAUGACGGCGUCCGUGGGACUCUCGGUGCAACGAGCUUUAACCAGCACGCAACGAGUCGAAAGGUCCUCCGGCACGGUCUAUAACCAAAAUAUACAAGGUUGACCUCGGAUCAGGUAGG
rnacentral:rRNA from 1 species